GUAUGUUAUAGAACAACCACAAGCAGCUAAGAGUGGUGGCCUUGAAUUUAAAGCCAGAAAUGUUGCUACACGCCUGAAGUCCCAGCUACUUGGGAGGCUGAGGCAGGAGUAUCACAAGUUCAAGGCCAUCCUGUGCAGCGUAACAAGACCUUGUCUCAAGAUAGGCAGAUACAUAGAUGGACAAACAGACUCAGGGAUAUAGCUCACCAUCUGCAUAACAUGGGCAAGGCCCUGGGUCCAAUCCCCAGCACUACACAAAUAAGGAAGGCCAGCUUAGGAUGAGUAAUGACAGUCUGUGCCCUGGCCCCUGGGGUCCCAGGCUGUGAGGAGAGACAAGGGCAGGUGUCCCCCGUGGGCUGGAUGUGGGCACAGAGAGCAGACCAGGGAAGGAGUCAGCCAGGAGGUGAGCGACCACCCUGUUCGCUGUGGACCCCAGCCCGGCGUGCAGAGGCCCCGAGUGCUGCCGCAGCAGGGCUGUGGAGCCAGGCGCUGUGCACGGUCAGUGAGACCCACCCUCCAGCUGGAUCUGAGAGGGGCCUCCGCCCAGAGCCUGCACGGGCUCUCCUUGGUGCUGACUGGGAGCCUGAGGCCCAGGCCCCUCCGGGACUGUAGCCACCGCAGCCCUUGGGAAGUGAAACUUCUCAGGGCCAGGGUUCUCAUUUGUCACCUGAGGGUGGCUUUCAGUGGCUCCCUGCUCUGAGCGGCAGAAGGUACACACCCCGAAACUGGCCCCUGGGGAUUCCCGGCACACGCGCAGCGCGCCUGACCUCACCGCCCUUUUCAGGGACCCAAGGGGAGGCAGCCCGGGUUUUGGCAGCAGCAUGGCCAGGAAAGACUUGUGUGACCUUCAGAAGCUGCUUCCCCCUUGAACACUCAGUUUCCUCAUCUGUCAAAGGUCAGGUCAGGCUCCUCGAGACUCCCCUCGCCUGACACCACAGCCAGUGGCUCCCCAACUGCUUCUGAGCUGAGCCCGAGGCCGCUGAGCCGCAUCUCCCCACUGACUGUGUCCACAGGAGAGGGUCUUGGGCAGCCACGCCUCAGCUGAGGACCCCUGGGCUCCUCUCCCAGCCAGGCCCUUCCCUGUCGGUGCCCAUGGCCGGGCGCCCCAGACCAGGCAGGGGUGGCAUGGAGCUUCUCCCAAUCCUUGACAUCGCAGAUCAGUGUAACAGUAUGUGCCCCGAACACAGGGCUCGAGCACCGGAGAGCAUUCUGGCCCUCAGGUGGAGGAUCCCGAAGGUCGGUGAGCAAGCGAUGACUCGGCCCCAGGCAUGGCCCUGUUCACAUUCAUCCAGAGCUGGAAAAGUCCACCUGGCUGCUGGGUUCCCUGCAAGGCCCCUCAGAGUGUGAGGUCACAGUGGCGGGAGAGCCCAGCAGAGCCAGAGGUGGAGGCAGCAACCCAAGCCCCGUGCCCGGCGUCACACUGUCCUCAGAAGCGGUUUCCAGGCUGGCACCUUCCAGGCCUCCUGGCCCCGAGGCAGGUCCUCAUCCUGUGUCCCUCCCGGGCCAAAGUUUGGGGACUUGGCCAUGCCUUCCGGGGGCGUCUGCCCUCUGGCUACUCAGGAGCCGGAGAGGAUGGUGAGAAGCCCAGUUCACUGAUGGCCCUGGGAGUGGACAGCACCCACGUGGGCACCAGUCCAGACCUCCUAGACUGUCUGCAGUUGGCACUGCCCACCCCUGCCCUCACGCCUGGGACAGCCUGUGGAUGGUCCCUUCUGUUACUCAGCUGUGCUGCCAACAAUGGAAGAAUGAAUGCUAAGUGAUGGGCUUUCUCUGCCCUACGAGGCUGCAGGCAACUGUGAAGAGACCUUGAGGCCAGAGGAGCCCACCUGAGCCUCCACCUGUGGCAAGCAGCCAGUGCCUGGCCUGGGCGAGGAGCGUGGGGUGGGCCGGGCAGGAAAAGCACGAGAGCUUGAGGGUGAAGAUUCAUGUUCGGUUUAGUCCUGUUUGUUGCAGGCUCACCAACUUACCAACAGUCCUAGACCGCUAGACUUCCUUGCUCUUCUCCUGUUAACAGCGUCCUCGAGCUGUAAUUCACAUACACGCGGCUCAGUCCUUCAGUGUUCAGUUCAGUGGUUUGCAGCAGAUACGCUGUGCAGCCUGCACAGUGGUCAGUGCUAGGUCAGCCGUAACUCCUCAGAAAGAAACCCCACUCCCUGGAGCAGCCGUCCUAUCCUUCCACCCCUGCCCCACCCCUAAGCAACCUCUAAUCUCCUCCCCUCUUUAUGGCAUUAGCUGCUCAAGACUUCAUGUAAGUGGCAUUACACAAUAUUUGUC
ensembl:lncRNA